rnacentral:rRNA from 1 species
UACGGAGGGUGCAACCGUUGCUCGGAAUCAUUGGGCGUAAAGCGCACGUAGGCGGACCGCUAAGUCGGAUGUGAAAGCCCUCGGCUUAACCGAGGAAGUGCAUUCGAAACUGACAGUCUUGAGUAUGGAAGAGGGUCGCGGAAUUCCCGGUGUAGAGGUGAAAUUCGUAGAUAUCGGGAGGAACACCAGUGGCGAAGGCGGCGACCUGGGCCAAUACUGACGCUGAGGUGCGAAAGCGUGGGGAGCAAACAGG